rnacentral:rRNA from 1 species
UACACGAGAGUGUAUUUANAUGGAUAACCNCNGAAAAUCUGCGGCUAAUACAUGCAGGAAAGCUCCNCAAGGAGUANCAUUUAUCANCUUGAGAUGGAUGCUGGGGNAACUCANCUUGGUGAGUCAUGAUAAANAUGCUGAUCGCAUGANCUUGUUCUCNGCGACNGUUCGUUCGACUUUCCGCCCUAUCAACUUUGGAUGGUAGUAUAGAGGACUACCAUGGUGGUAACGGGGUGACGGAGAAUUAGGGUUCGGUUCCGGAGAGGGAGCCUGAGAGAUGGCUACUACUUCCAAGGAAGGCAGCAGGCGCGAAAAUUGCCAAACCAACUAAGUUGGAGGCAGUGACAAUAAAUAUCUGCGGGUUCUAUGAAUCCGACUGGAAUGAGAUGGAUGUAAACAAUCCUACGAGUAUCAAUUGGAGGAAAAGUCUGGUGCCAGCACCCGCGGUAAUUCCAGCUCCAAGAGCGUAUAUUCAAGUUGCUGCAGUUAAAAAGCUCGUAGUUGGGUGGGGGAUGAAAGGUAGAAGGAGAAGGGGAACCGGAUCUGGAAACUUUUUAUCCAUUUAUGGAGAGUAGCUUGUUAGAUGACCUUAACUGGUUGUUUAAUAUAGCCUCUCCCGUUGACCGUGCUUAAAUUCGCGUGUUCAAAGCAAGCAAUUUCGCUUGAAGAGUCUAGCAUGGGAUCAUAAAAUAUGAAGUUUACUCAAUUGUCUAUCUCUUGAGUAUGACUUAAUGACAAAUAGGGGCAAGCGGGGGCGGAGGGAUUCCGUUGUUAGAGGUGAAAUUCUUAGACCAACGGAGGACCAACAGAAGCCAAAGCGUCCGUCAAGGGUGUACCCAUUGAUCAAGAACGAAAGUUAGGGGAUCAAAUACGAUCAGACACCGUAGUAGUCCUAACCUUAAACGAUACCGACCGGGGAUGGGGAGAGGUAAUACUCUUAACCCUUCCUGUACCCUGCGAGAAAUCAAGAGUGUUUGGGUUCCGGGGGGAGUACGGUCGCAAGGCUGAAACUUAAAGGAAUUGACGGAAGGACACACAAGAAGUGGAACCUGCGGCUUCCAAUUCGACUCAACACGGGAAAACUUACCAGGUCCAGACAUGGGAAGGAUGGACAGAUUGAUAGCUCUUUCUUGAUUCCAUGAGUGGUGGUGCAUGGCCGUUCUUAGUUGGUGGAGUGAUUUGUCUGGUUGAUUCCGAUAACGAACGAGACCACGAGAGGGUGGUUGAGGUUGUAGAUGAGGAAUGAAAAUGGGGGAAGGGUUAAUUGUAACUGGCUUCGGUUAGUUCGGUUAAUUUGGAACCUUUGUUCCUUUCUACACUUACCUACCCCGACCGAAGUGUUUUAACACUUAGGAAGGUCGUGGCAAUAACAGGUCUGUGAUGCCCUUAGAUGUUCUGGGCUGCACGCGCGUUACACUGACUAAGUGAAAAAGUUUUUUUUGCUUGACUGAGAGGUCUGGCAAAUCUUUUAAACCUAGUCGUGAUGGGGAUAGAUGGUUGAAAUUAGGCAUCUUGAACGAGGAAUUCCUAGUAAACGUGGUUGAUCAAACCGCGUUGAUUACGUCCCUGCCCUUUGUACACACCGCCCGUCGCUCCUACCGAUUGAAUGAAAAGGUGAAAAGAAGGGAAGGAGGNAUAGCAAUAUNCUAAUAGAACGUCUUUGAACCAUUUCAUUUAGAGGAAGGAGAAGUCGUAACAAGGUUUUCGUAGGUGA